UGUCACGUAGCCAUAUAUUUCGUAAAAUGAUAGAAACCAAUCCUUUAGACCAGAAGAAUAAUACGUUCUAUUACUGGAUCAUCGCAAUAACUAAUUUCCACCUACCAUUGGGAUGGCCUAGAUGUUUUUCCCGUAACAGUAGUAAGUUGUGGGCUAUGUCACGUAGCCAUAUCAUCUAUGAACAGCUCAUAGCCAUCACGUGUAGUAGUUUGUUGAAAAUAUAAUCCACUUCAUUGAUACCUGGCCCCUCUCACUCUCUCAUAAAGUAUCUUGGAGCUUUUGGUGUAAUUGGAUCUUAAUCUACAACCUUCUUUUUUCCCUCUCCUCCAACUUUGCAUCAAUAUAAUAUUUAAAUGUGUAUAGUUUGCUUACAACACCUUUUCAUAGUUGCUCUUAAAAUUUGACGAGCAUUUAUUAGUAUGUCAUUUGUGUACAACACAUGGAACAGAAGAAUAAUGACAUAUAAUGAGUUUUGUUCCCAAGAUCUCAACAGUUUAUUUUCGACGGAAAGUAUAAAGACUACUCCCUCCGUCCUUAAAUAAGUGCACAUAUAGAGAUUUAUUGAGAGAUUAUGGAGUGGAGUAGAAAAUGGAUAGGGAAGUUGCAAGCCACAAUCUCUCUCUAUCAUAAUUCCCCCACCUCCAAUAAGUUAAGUACAUGUAAAAGAUGAGUAUACCAUGUGUUGAUUGUUAUUGAGUCUAUUUCUAGUGUGAUGGGAGAGAAACAUUUUUCUACUUUAAAGUAUAUUGAGAAGGUUGAAGCAUUGUAUAUUGUUUUGUGGACAAAUUUUCAAUGCUAAAGGUCCACCUAUUAAAGGAUGGAGGGAGUACUCAUGUAUCAUGUAGAUGCAUCUUAUUAAUCUAUAGGACUGUGCUAACGUCUAGUCAACCGGACGUUAUCGACAUAUCGAGACGAUUGAUAGAUAUCCACCUUUCUAAUUUACAUGCAUACAUUAGCUCAUCUCAUUUCUUUUUUCAUGUUCAGUGCCGGUGUGUACGUUGUCCACUAACAAUUAGUUUAAUUAGCAACUAAGAUAUGCAUGCAUAAAACACAAAAAUGAUAAUGUCAG
rnacentral:lncRNA from 1 species